GACGAACGCUGGCGGCGUGCCUAACACAUGCAAGUCGAGCGGAGUCGAUCGACGGAAGCCUUCGGGCGGAAGAUGGUUGACUUAGCGGCGGAUGGGUGAGUAACGCGUGGGCAACCUGCCUCGAAGACCGGGAUAACAGCCCGAAAGGGCUGCUAAUACCGGAUGUGGUCAAGGAUCCGCAUGGAUCUUUGAUUAAAGGGGAAACCCGUUUCGAGAUGGGCCCGCGUCCUAUCAGCUAGUUGGUGAGGUAAAAGCUCACCAAGGCGACGACGGGUAGCCGGCCUGAGAGGGUGACCGGCCACACUGGAACUGAGACACGGUCCAGACUCCUACGGGGGGCAGCAGUGGGGGAAUCUUCCACAAUGGGCGAAAGCCUGAUGGAGCGACGCCGCGUGAGCGAAGAAGGCCUUCGGGUUGUAAAGCUCUGUCUGGAGGGACGAAGGAAGUGACGGUACCUCCGGAGGAAGCCACGGCUAACUACGUG
rnacentral:rRNA from 1 species